UGGGGAAUAUUGGACAAUGGGGGGAACCCUGAUCCAGCCAUGCCGCGUGUGUGAAGAAGGCCUUAUGGUUGUAAAGCACUUUAAGCGAGGAGGAGGGUACUGGUAUUAAUACUACCAGCUACUGGACGUUACUCGCAGAAUAAGCACCGGCUAACUCUGUGCCAGCAGCCGCGGUAAUACAGAGGGUGCGAGCGUUAAUCGGAUUUACUGGGCGUAAAGCGUGCGUAGGCGGCUAAUUGAGUCGGAUGUGAAAUCCCCGAGCUUAACUUGGGAAUUGCAUUCGAUACUGGUUAGCUAGAGUGUGGGAGAGGAUGGUAGAAUUCCAGGUGUAGCGGUGAAAUGUGUAGAGAUCUGGAGGAAUACCGAUGGCGAAGGCAGCCAUCUGGCCUAACACUGACGCUGAGGUACGAAAGCAUGGGGAGCAAACAGG
rnacentral:rRNA from 1 species